CGCACAUUGUGCCCAUUAGUACUCUAGUGGGCAUGCCUGUUCGAGCGUCAUUACUACACUUAAGCCCUGUCGCUUAGCGUUGGGAGCCUACAGCACCUGUAGCUCCUCAAAGGUAGUUGGCGGAGUUUUUGUUGGCUCUAGGCGUAGUAAUUCUUUUCUCGCCUCUGUAGUCCCCUAGGCUCUUGCCGUUAAAAGGCCAAAUUAUACUGGUUGACCUCGGAUCAGGUAGGAAUACCCGCUGAACUUAA
rnacentral:misc_RNA from 1 species